UGAGGAAUAUUGGUCAAUGGGGCGGGGAGCCUGAACCAGCCAAGCCGCGUGAGGGAAGAAGGUACAGCGUAUCGUAAACCUCUUUUGUCAGGGAACAAAGGCGGGGACUAGUCCCCGGAUGAGGGUACCUGAAGAAAAAGCAUCGGCUAACUCCGUGCC
rnacentral:rRNA from 1 species